rnacentral:lncRNA from 1 species
AGCCGCAAGAUCGGGUUUCGAGACGGAUGCUCGUCAUAACAAUCGUAGCACUUUCAGCACUGGCGCUGGUUUCCUUUUUCUGGUGCUGGAUCCAUCCUCCUAAACGACACAAAAGCUUGAGCAAACCAGAAGAAGAGUGGACACUUACUUCGUACCAAGUUAAGUUGAUUUCUCUGGCAGACGUCCUUGAGUGCGUCGAAAGCAAGGACAAUCUCAUCUGCAGAGGACGAAACAACGUGUACAAAGGAGUGCUCAAAGGUGGCAUACGGGUUGCAGUGAAGGAGGUCCAGAGCGAAGAUCACAGCCAUGUAGCUGAAUUUGACGCGGAGGUCGCAACGCUCGGAAAUAUCCGGCACAGGAACGUCGUCAAGUUGCUCGCCUCCUGCACAAACAAAAAAAGUCAUCUCCUGGUGUACGAAUUUAUGCCACUGGGAAACCUGAGAGAUCUUCUCCACGGAAAGAUGGCGAGGAGCUUCAGCCUUGGAUGGGACAAACGGGUUGAAAUCAUAACUGGCAUAGCCGAAGGGCUUG